AAGAGCCGGAGAGAAGCGACAUGCGACCCCCAGUAAACAAUCGCGAUAAUAUUCCAUUGAGGCAGCUUAUUCCCAAACAGUGAAAAGAUGGAACUAAUGGAAGAAACCCACAGGAAUCUAAAAGACUCGGACACUAAAAUGAUGAAAACAAUUUUUAUUUGGUGAAAGACAGCCACUGAAAUUCUUACCUGGCAGGGAGAUGCCGUGAUCCCGAAGCUGCUCUGUGCAGAGGUUCAUGUAGCAAAAAAUCAACACCUGCCAGCAAUCACGUGAGUGGGCUGAGAUGCGGAAGUCCACGGGCCUGUCGCCGGCCACACGAACAAGCCAGCCACCUCACCAUGGACGUUCCCAGAUGAAGCCCAGGAUGGCUGCGGCCCUGGCCCUGGCCAUGUCCCGCGAGAGACCUUGGGACAGGACAGCAUGACCACGCCCCUCUCGGGGCCCUGACCCACAGAAAGUGCUAGAUAAUAAAGGUUCACCGUUUUCA